rnacentral:rRNA from 1 species
GAAUGGCUCAUUAAAUCAGUUAUAGUUUGUUUGAUGGUAUCUACUACUAGGAUAACUGUAGUAAUUCUAGAGCUAAUACGUGCAACAAACCCCGACUUCUAGAAGGGAUGCAUUUAUUAGAUAAAAGGCUGACGCGGGCUCUGCCCGUUGCUCUGAUGAUUCAUGAUAACUCGACGGAUCGCACAGCCAUCGUGCUGGCGGCGCAUCAUUCAAAUAUCUGCCCUAUCAACUUUCGAUGGUAGGAUAGUGGCCUACCAUGGUGGUGACGGGUGACGGAGAAUUAGAGUUCGAUUCCGGAG